AGUGGCGGACGGGUGAGUAACGCGUGGGCAACCUGCCCCAUACAGGGGGAUAACAGCUGGAAACGGCUGCUAAAACCGCAUAAGCGCACAAGGGCCGCAUGGCCUGGUGUGAAAAACUCCGGUGGUAUGGGAUGGGCCCGCGUCUGAUUAGCUAGUUGGCGGGGGAGAGGCCCACCAAGGCGACGAUCAGUAGCCGACCUGAGAGGGUGGCCGGCCACAUUGGGACUGAGACACGGCCCAAACUCCUACGGGAGGCAGCAG
rnacentral:rRNA from 1 species